AUUGAACGCUGGCGGCAGGCCUAACACAUGCAAGUCGAGCGGAUGAAGAGAGCUUGCUCUCUGAUUUAGCGGCGGACGGGUGAGUAAUGCCUAGGAAUCUGCCUGGUAGUGGGGGAUAACGUCCGGAAACGGGCGCUAAUACCGCAUACGUCCUACGGGAGAAAGCAGGGGACCUUCGGGCCUUGCGCUAUCAGAUGAGCCUAGGUCGGAUUAGCUAGUUGGUGAGGUAAUGGCUCACCAAGGCUACGAUCCGUAACUGGUCUGAGAGGAUGAUCAGUCACACUGGAACUGGGACACAGGCCAGACUCCUACGGGAGGCAGCAGUGGGGAAUAUUGGACAAUGGGCGAAAGCCUGAUCCAGCCAUGCCGCGUGUGUGAAGAAGGUCUUCGGAUUGUAAAGCACUUUAAGUUGGGAGGAAGGGCAGUAAGUUAAUACCUUGCUGUUUUGACGUUACCGACAGAAUAAGCACCGGCUAACUUCGUGCCAGCCGCCGCGGUAAUAC
rnacentral:rRNA from 1 species